rnacentral:rRNA from 1 species
AGUGAACGCUGGCGGUAGGCCUAACACAUGCAAGUCGAACGGCAGCACAGUAAGAGCUUGCUCUUACGGGUGGCGAGUGGCGGACGGGUGAGGAAUACAUCGGAACCUACUUUUUCGUGGGGGAUAACGUAGGGAAACUUACGCUAAUACCGCAUACGACCUACGGGUGAAAGCAGGGGAUCUUCGGACCUUGCGCGAUUGAAUGAGCCGAUGUCGGAUUAGCUAGUUGGCGGGGUAAAGGCCCACCAAGGCGACGCUCCGUAGCUGGUCUGAGAGGAUGAACAGCCAAACUGGAACUGAGACACGGUCCAGACUCCUACGGGAGGCAGCAGUGGGGAAUAUUGGACAAUGGGCGCAAGCCUGAUCCAGCCAUACCGCGUGGGUGAAGAAGGCCUUCGGGUUGUAAAGCCCUUUUGUUGGGAAAGAAAAGCAGCAGGUUAAUACCCCGCUGUUCUGACGGUACCCAAAGAAUAAGCACCGGCUAACUUCGUG